AUUGAACGCUGGCGGCAGGCCUAACACAUGCAAGUCGAACGAGUGGCGGACGGGUGCGUAAUGUCUGGGAAACUGCCUGAUGGAGGGGGAUAACUACUGGAAACGGUAGCUAAUACCGCAUACCCUCGGAUGUGCCCAGAUGGGAUUAGCUUGUAGGUGGGUUAAAGGCUCACCUAGGCGACGAUCCCUAGCUGGUCUGAGAGGAUGACCAGCCAAACGGGAACUGAGACACGGUCCAGACGCCUACGGGAGGCAGCAGUGGGGAAUAUUGGACAAUGGGCGCAAGCCUGAUGCAGCCAUACCGCGUGGGUGAAGAAGGCCUUCGGGUUGUAAAGCCCUUUUGUUGUGAAAGCGGUACCCAAAGAAUAAGCACCGGCUAACUUCGUGCCAGCCGCCGCGGUAAUAC
rnacentral:rRNA from 1 species